AGAGUUUGAUCCUGGCUCAGGAUGAACGCUAGCGACAGGCCUAACACAUGCAAGUCGAGGGGCAGCGAAGAGGUAGCAAUACCUCUGUCGGCGACCGGCGCACGGGUGAGUAACACGUAUGCAAUCCACCUGUAACAGGGGGAUAACCCGGAGAAAUCCGGACUAAUACCCCAUAAUAUGGGCGCUCCGCAUGGAGAGCCCAUUAAAGAGAGCAAUUUUGGUUACAGACGAGCAUGCGCUCCAUUAGCCAGUUGGCGGGGUAACGGCCCACCAAAGCGACGAUGGAUAGGGGUUCUGAGAGGAAGGUCCCCCACAUUGGAACUGAGACACGGUCCAAACUCCUACGGGAGGCAGCAGUGAGGAAUAUUGGUCAAUGGUCGGCAGACUGAACCAGCCAAGUCGCGUGAGGGAAGACGGCCCUACGGGUUGUAAACCUCUUUUGUCGGAGAGUAAAGUACGCUACGUGUAGCGUAUUGCAAGUAUCCGAAGAAAAAGCAUCGGCUAACUCCGUGCCAGCAGCCGCGGUAAUACGGAGGAUGCAAGCGUUAUCCGGAUUUAUUGGGUUUAAAGGGUGCGUAGGCGGCACGCCAAGUCAGCGGUGAAAUUUCCGGGCUCAACCCGGAGUGUGCCGUUGAAACUGGCGAGCUAGAGUGCACAAGAGGCAGGCGGAAUGCGUGGUGUAGCGGUGAAAUGCAUAGAUAUCACGCAGAACCCCGAUUGCGAAGGCAGCCUGCUAGGGUGCGACAGACGCUGAGGCACGAAAGCGUGGGUAUCGAACAGGAUUAGAUACCCUGGUAGUCCACGCAGUAAACGAUGAAUACUAACUGUUUGCGAUACAAUGUAAGCGGUACAGCGAAAGCGUUAAGUAUUCCACCUGGGGAGUACGCCGGCAACGGUGAAACUCAAAGGAAUUGAC
rnacentral:rRNA from 1 species